rnacentral:lncRNA from 1 species
GCCUCCGCCGUUACUGUUUGAUGUAGCCAUCUCCACGCGAUCUUUUUUUCCUUUUAUAUGUAUAUAUGUACCAAGUUUAGCUAAUUAAAUAAUUCUUUCACGUUUUCUUUUGUGUUGUGGUGGUGGUUGAGGAUCACCCGUCUUCGACGUGUUUCCGGUGGCAAUUACGGCCGCCGACGCACCGCUGGGCACGUAAACACAGCUCAGGCAAUCUCAACGAAGGUCCUCUCAUCUCUCUGCAUUCCCUGAAGGGGCUUUUAGUGUUUGCUUAUUUAUUUUUUCUUGGGGGGAGACGAUAAGGAUUUUGAUUUGCUGCUAUUAAUCAAACGCUUAUAGAUGGUGAUGGUGUUUACCGGGAGUUGUUUUGCUCGCUCUUCUUUUUUUUUUUUUCUUCCUCGAAAAGGUUUGCGCCUUUAUAGAACGAUUUGAGGUCUAAUUUGGCAAUUUCUCGCUUUUCCAGAUUUGAUCAGACGGUUGUUUGAUGGCCGCGUGUUGCAAUCAUGACGGGUGAGUUAUGAUUCUCUGGAUUAUUGACGUAAUGGUAGCGUGACACGUGAAUAGGUUUGUUGCUGGUUACUGUUUGGAACCGAUUGCUGCGAUAAGCAGGUGUUGUGUUCUGUAAGCGUAUUGGUAGGCUAAGCGCCAUUAUUUCUAACUACAGACGUCAGCAUUGGCAAAGGGAAAUGACAAAAAAACCUGACUCUCGGACGCUCGUAGAACGUGAAAAGUUCUCAUUCGUGUGGGAGAGAUUGGAGAAUGUCAUUUUGAUUAUUGCUGUAAUCAUAGAGUUUUAUGCCUGGAAGUGGAGUGAUUACUGAUUAGCAAUGAAAUAAUGACGUGGGCCACAGGCAGGGUGUGAAAUUUUCUUUUCAUUCUUCUGAUAAGUCAUUAAAGUACACAUUGAUUGAUAGGCAAAAUAAAGCAUAACUCGGGGGCGAGAUAAGUGAAAGCAAAAAUGGAGAGAUAAUUAAAGUUUCAAAAUUGGACGUUUAAGGGUAAGGC